UCUCGAUAGCGUAAAAGUUAACUCAAUUUUGUAUGGAGUUAAAACGUUUGCCUACGUUUGCCGCUAGGGGCGCUGUUCUGACUGCAUACAUAUUUAAGUUAACUUUUACGCUUUCGA
rnacentral:pre_miRNA from 9 species